rnacentral:rRNA from 1 species
CACGCUGUAAACGAUGUACAUUAGGCGCUAGGGAGUAUCGACCCUCUUUAGUGCCAAAGCUAACGCGUUAAAUGUACCGCCUGGGGAGUACGGCCGCAAGGCUAAAACUCAAAGGAAUUGACGGGGACCCGCACAAGCGGUGGAGCAUGUGGUUUAAUUCGACGAUAAGCGAGGAACCUUACCAAGUCUUGACAUGUAGCUGCAAGAUCUAGAAAUAGAUCCGCCUUCGAGGGUGCUACACAGGUGC